rnacentral:rRNA from 1 species
UCAUGAAAGCCGCUUGUACCCGAAGUCGCUGUGCCAGCUCGCAAGAGAGGCAGGUGCCGAAGGUAUGGGUGGUGAUUGGGAUG